rnacentral:lncRNA from 1 species
AUGGGUGAUGUUGAGAAAGGCAAGAAGAGUUUUGUUCAGAAGUGUGCCCAAGGCCGGUGUGCCCAAUGCCACACCAUGGUAAAGCGAGGCAAGUACAAGAGUGAGCCAAAUCUCCAUGGUCUAUUUAUGCAGAAGACAGGUCAGGCCACUGAAUUCUCUCACAGACGCCAAUGAGAACAAAGGCAUCACCUGAGGAGAGGAGACACUGAUGGAGUAUUUGCAGAAUCCCAAGAAGUACAUCCCUGGAACAAAAAUGACCAUUGUCAGCACUAAGAAGAAGGCAGAAAGGGCAGACUUGAUAGCUUAUCUCAGAAAAGCUAAUAAUCAGUAA